UACGUAGGCAGCAAGCGUUGUUCGGAAUUACUGGGCGUAAAGGGCUCGUAGGCGGCCAACUAAGUCGGAUGUGAAAUCCCCAGGCUUAACCUGGGAACUGCAUCCGAUACUGGAUGGCUUGAAUCCGGGAGAGGGAUGCAGAAUUCCAGGUGUAGCGGUGAAAUGCGUAGAUAUCUGGAGGAAUACCGGUGGCGAAGGCGGCAUCCUGGACCGGCAUUGACGCUGAGUGAGCGAAAGCCAGGGGAGCAAACGGG
rnacentral:rRNA from 1 species